AGAGCGAACGUUAGCGGCGGGCCUAACACAUGCAAGUCGAGCGAGAAAGUGGCUUCGGCCAUCAGUAAAGCGGCGGACGGGUGAGUAACACGUAGGUAAUCUUCCUUCGAGCGGGGGGACAACGUUCCGAAAGGGACGCUAAUACCGCAUACGUUUCCAGAGACUCCGGUUUUUGGAAGGAAAGCUAGGUAGCAAUAUCCGGCACUCGAUGAGGAGCCUGCGUCGCAUCAGCUAGUUGGUGGGGUAACGGCCUACCAAGGCGAAGACGCGUAGCUGGUCUGAGAGGAUGAUCAGCCACACUGGGACUGAGACACGGCCCAGACUCCUACGGGAGGCAGCAGUGGGGAAUAUUGGACAAUGGGCGCAAGCCUGAUCCAGCCACGCCGCGUGAGUGAUGAAGGCCUUCGGGUCGUAAAGCUCUUUUGUGCGGGAAGAUAAUGACGGUACCGCAAGAAUAAGCCCGGCUAACUUCGUGCCAGCAGCCGCGGU
rnacentral:rRNA from 1 species